UUAUUAUGAGACGUCCUCCCCUCACCAGCCUCCACUGACUACUAUAUAUGGAUUAGAGUACCAUUUGGGACUCAUCCCUUUAAUACCGCUUCAGUGAGUGACUCUAGUCUUUGACUUGAGAGGUUAUGUAAUUUGACUUGAGAGGUUGUGUAACCUGAUUUGAGAGGUUAUGUAACUUGACUUGAGAGGUUAUGUAACUUGACUUGAGAGGUUAUGUAACUUGACUUGAGAGGUUAUGUAACUUGACUUGAGAGGUUAUGUAACUUGACUUGAGAGGUUAUGUAACUUGACUUGAGAGGUUGUGUAACUUGAUUUGAGAGGUUGUGUAACUUCAGUCUGCACAAAGUUGCAUAUUGAGCAUGUGAUCAUUGCCAAAUGCUUUAUUUGAAAUUGGCCCGGUAAAGACUAUUUCAGUCCACUGCUAAAUUCCUAGUCCUUAUCACAUUGUCCUAAGCAGACUUUUCUUUGGCCUACAUAAUGUCUAAAACAGGUUAGAAACUAUGCAAAAUAUCCUGUUGAGUCCAAAGAACUUGGGAUACUACAGCUUUGAAUGUGUACAACUUAAAGGGUUAGUUCAGCAUUUUGGGAAUGAAGCCCUUUAAUAUCCCACUUUCGCCUUUAUUUCCUUCCCCAGAUGAACUUGUCGAUACCAUUUUUAUGUCUCUGCAUACAGUUUGAAGUUGCUAACCAGUGUUAGUGCAAUAACUGGAAGUCUAUGUAAGUUAGUAUAACAGAUUAUUGUGAAAUAAACAAAAUGCUUAUUGGA